GUGGGUUAGAUCCCAUAUCCUU
rnacentral:miRNA from 14 species